AUAUCUGCUGCAGAAAAUAUCGAACAAACAGUUUUCUCUUUCUCCCAGUGAAAAAAAUGUCUCUUCUGUUUUCCUCUUCCCUCCAUCUUCUACCUUCGUCAACUCCCGCAACUUCCAUUUGUUACCAAGCUCAUCCCCGUAUCGCCGCGUUUUCUUCAUCUCCUCCGGCCGGCGGAUUCUUCUCCGUAUCUGCAACUUCUCUGUCUCAUUUUCUCGACGAUAACUUUCGGAGUGGAUCUCUUUACUGCUCAUCUUCCUCGUCAAUGUCGCUCGAAGAAUCUACUUCAACUUCUCAGUUGGAGGAUAGCUUGUUGUACUCGAGAGCUUUUUGGGUGAGCAGGUAUGUUAUAGCGUGGAAUGUGGAAGUUGGGAGCGGUUCUUGCUAUCUGUUUGCCAGUAAAAUGGCUACUCUGCGUAUUGAAGAUGGUGUAGUCGAAGGCUACGAUGUGAAACUUAAGCUGGAAAAAGACCGCGGCCGGCUUCCAGAAAAUGUGAUCAAAAAGUUCCCUCAUAUUCAAAACUACUGCCCUUUCACAGUCCCUCUUGCAUCAGACGUUGAAGCACUCCUCAAAUGUCAACUGGCAGUAGCCACUUUCAACUCUUAUGGUGAAUGCAACAAUAUUACUUGCCUGCAGCUACCCGGUGUUCUGGAUGACUUGUUCUCAUAUGAAGGUCCUCUAGGUGCAGUUUACUCCAAAGAGGCUGUAUCACUUUACCUUUGGGCUCCAACUGCUCAGGCUGUACGGGCUCAAAUUUUUAGGGACCCAGUGGGUGGGACGCCAUUUGAAGUUAUUCAGCUUGAGGAGCUUGAUGGCGUUUGGAGAACCAAAGGACCAAAAAGUUGGGAAGGCUGUUAUUAUGAAUAUGAAGUAACAGUCUACCAUCCUAGCACCUUGCAAAUUGAAAAAUGCUUUACUACUGAUCCUUAUUCUAGAGGGAUCUCAUCAGAUGGAAGGCGGACAUUAUUUGUUGAUAUUGGCUCCAAUGACUUAAUACCUAAGGGUUGGGAUAAAUUAGCUGACGAGAAACACCCAGUGGAUUCAUUUUCUGACAUUAGUAUUUAUGAGUUGCAUGUAAGGGAUUUUAGUAUAAGUGAUCAAAGUGUGCAUCCUGAUCUGCGUGGUGGUUUUAUGGCUUUCACUUUGCAGGAUUCUGCUGGAAUCAAUCAUUUAAAGAAGCUAUCGAAUGCUGGUAUUAGUCAUGUUCAUCUACUGCCAACCUUCCAAUUUGGUGGUGUUGAUGACGACAAGACAAAGUGGAAGUUUUUCGAUACCGAACUUCUGGAAGAUCUUCCUCCUGAUUCAGCUGAACAGGAAUCAUUAAUUGCAGAUAUCCUAAACAGCGAUGGGUAUAACUGGGGGUAUAAUCCUAUUCUGUGGGGAGUACCUAAAGGAAGCUAUGCAAGUGAUCCUAAUGGUCCUUGUCGUGUAAUUGAGUUCCGAAAGAUGGUUCAGGCACUUAACCAAAUUGGCCUUCGUGUUGUGUUGGAUGUUGUCUAUAAUCAUCUACAUGGACAUGGACCUUUUGAUCCAAAUUCUGUUCUUGAUAAGAUUGUACCAGGGUAUUAUUUGAGAAGGAACGCUGAUGGUUUCAUUGAGAAUAGUACCUGUGUAAAUAACACUGCCAGUGAACAUUUUAUGGUUGAACGCAUGAUUGUGGAUGAUAUCUUACACUGGGUAGUUGAUUAUAAGGUUGAUGGAUUUCGGUUUGAUCUUAUGGGCCAUUUGAUGAAAAGUACUAUGUUGAAAGCUAAAGAUGCACUUCAAGGCUUAACUAAGGAAAAGAAUGGAGUUGAUGGUUCAAGUAUCUAUAUAUAUGGUGAGGGAUGGGACUUUGGCGAAGUCGCGAAAAAUGGACGUGGAGUAAAUGCAUCACAGUUCAACCUUUUUGGAACUGGAAUUGGGAGUUUUAAUGACCGGGUUCGAGACGCAAUACUUGGUGGAUCUCCAUUUGGGCAUCCUCUUCAGCAAGGAUUUGUGACUGGCCUAUUGCUAGAGCCUAAUGAUCAUGACCAUGGUACAGACAAAGUUGCGGAAUCUAUGCUUGCUGUGUCAAAGGAUCAUAUUGAGGUUGCGAUGGCUGCCAAUUUGAGGGACUAUGUUCUAACCAAUUUUGAAGGACAAGAGGUGAAGGGGUUAGAAGUACUGACUCAUGAUGGAUCUCCAGUGGCGUAUGCUUCUUGCCCCUCAGAAACUGUGAAUUAUGUUUCUGCUCAUGAUAAUGAAACUCUAUUCGACAUCGUGAGUUUGAAGACUCCAAGGAACAUUGCCGUGGAUGAUAGGUGCAGGAUUAAUCAUUUAGCCACCAGUAUUAUAGCACUAUCACAGGGAAUACCAUUUUUCCACUGUGGUGAUGAAUUACUACGCUCAAAAUCAAUGGAUCGUGAUUCAUACAACUCUGGUGAUUGGUUCAACAGACUCGACUUCACGUACACGACAAAUAAUUGGGGCGUUGGCCUUCCUCCAAAAGAGAAGAACGAAUACAAUUGGCCCCUAAUAAAACCUAGAUUGGCUGAUCCCUCCUUCAAGCCUAGUAAAACUCAUAUUCUUGCUGCUGUGGAAAAUUGCACAAAUCUGUUACAAAUCAGAUACUCUUCACCCCUUUUCCGUUUGAAGACAUCUAAUGCUAUCCAGAGACGAGUCCGUUUCCACAACUCAGGUGCAUCACUUAUACCUGGACUGAUAGUGAUGAGCAUUGAAGAUGGGCACGAAGGCAUUCCAGGGUUAAGUCAGCUGGAUUCAAUCUACUCGUACAUUGUUGUUGUGGUUAAUGCACGUCCAACUGAGAUUUCAUUUCCUUGUCCUGCAUUGCGGGCAAGGACUCUUCAAUUACAUCCCAUUCAGUUAAUGUCAACCGAUCCCAUUGUAAAAAAUUCAACAUACGAGCCAUCCACAGGAUGCUUCAUGGUGCCUCCAAGGACGACAGCAGUAUUUGUGGAGCCUCGGAUAUAUGAGUAGCCAUAUUCUCUGAAAUGUUAUGUCAAUGAUGGGGAUUGAACACACAAUUUUAUUUUGAACUGGGUCCUACUCCUAGAUGGAUGGACUGUACAACUGAAAGUAGAGACUUUUGGAGAAAAUUCCUCUUCUCCGUGGGGCCAUGCUGUGUGUUUCGUGCAAGAGAAGAAGAUUGAGUUCUCACUCAGAAUUCUUAAAAAGAAAAAAGCUUGAAUGGUGGACGAUAAUGGUGGAAUAAUAGAAGAAUUUGGGUAGUGCUUCAACCAAUCUUUAGUUGAGAAGUCUCCUUCUUAGACAAUUUUCGGAUGAGCUAUUUAUAGGCGUCAAAUGGAAGCUUCAUUGCCUCUUCCUAAUAAUGCUUUGACAUGUUUGUAUUUAAUUCCAUGCUCUGCUGCGUCGACUACUCGCGUCACAGGUUCAUCGGCUACCAACUUGCAUUUUGAUUUGACAUCUACCGGUCAUGCAUUUGUCUUUUUCUCUCUUCAUGUUUCUGCUCGUCACAUAGUUUUUUGCAUGCAAAAUUUGGAGUUGAUUUGAUCAAUUCAUAUGCGUCCACGGCUGUAGCUUUUGUUUCUUUGGUUUGUUUUUGCUUUUUUUUCAUCAGAAAUCUUGCAUUCAAAAGAUAUUAAAUUUUAUAAUUUUUAGGAUAAUAAGUUUUGUAAAUGCAUGAACGCAAAGCAAUUUUUUUA